rnacentral:tRNA from 1 species
GCGGACGUAGCUCAGUCGGUAGAGCUCCUGGUUGUGGUCCAGGCGGUCGCGGGUUCGAGCCCCGUCGUUCGCCCC